UCUAACAGAAUAGAGAGGACCCCGUGACUGCAAAAUCAUCUUCUUCUUUUUUUGAAAGAUCACCUUGAUGCUCUUUCUACCAUGAAGUCCAUUUCUAGUCAGGACAUUUAAUGGUCUAUUUAGUCGCCUGUAACCUUAGUGACAUUAGCCUAUAUUUCCUAAUUAAUCGAACAUUAUAUGACAUCAAAAGAUGAUAAAGAGACCACAAAAUUCUACUAUAACAAGACUUAAAACUAUGAAGGGAAGCAAACUCAUUGUCUUUGUACCACAAUGAUAUUUUGGUGUAUUGUGAUCAUGUUUAGCAUAAAACUCAUUGUCUUCUGAGUUUUCUAUGCCAAGUCCUUAUUCUUCCCUGUGGUGGAGUUGACUCUUUGGUCACUAAGCCCAAAUAAAUGUCAAGAACAUCCACAACAUGCAAUGUUACUUGUAGAGAAUAUAGAUCUCGUUGUUUUCUGUUCUGCAUAUUUCCUUUUGAUUCUGUCUGGUUUUGUACCUUGUCGAAUUGGGUGCCCUUGUGAUUUACAUGCUUAUUAAGGUGAAGCUUUAUCGCAAAUACAGUGAAUCCACCUGCUUAUUCUGUUCUCUCUCUCUUUCUCUCACAGGUUGGCUUACUGAACUCUGAGAAUGAGGACUUCGUGAAGAAAAUGGUGGAGACAACUCAAGAUAAUUUUCAGAUGAAUCUGGGAGUGAUGUUGUCGAGAAGGAUUUCUUGGAAGGUUUAUGGGGUCUGAUUCAAGUACGAUGUGGCAAUGGAUGGAAAGUUGACAGUGUACCCAGACCUCAUCUCUUGUUUGAACUUUGAAGCUCAGCUGGUUGCUGGGAAGACUUAUUAGUUUGGUCCCAUCAACACUCCAGAGCAACCCAAGCCGCUUUCAGAAGUUUCCGGGGUACUUCAUGGUAAACAGAAGCACAAGCACAAUGCAGAGUUAAAGUAUCCUUAAAGGAUACGCAGGCUUAAUAUAUUUCCUGCCAGUAAAACUGAGGAUAUGCAGCCAAUUCGAUCGCUUGACUGUAGAAGAGCACUUGCUGGAUGUGCUUUUGUUCCUCAAUGGAUGGUUUAUUGAAUGGAUAUUGAGCAUCAAAGAAAAUGAAAAUUAUGUGAAUCUAUUUAUUUAUUUUCUUUCUUAAAUCAAUGUCAAAUUCAUCUCUUAUUUCUCUUCCCUAGUUACCUUAUUUAUUUGAUGUAGAAUUCAAAAUUGAAUAAUGGCGUAUAAUUCAUUAAUAUGAUCAUCCUUUCUUCCUCU